AGCGAACGCUGGCGGCAGGCCUAACACAUGCAAGUCGAACGAAGCCUUCGGGCUUAGUGGCGGACGGGUGAGUAACACGUGGGAACGUACCUUUUGGUUCGGAAUAACGCAGAGAAAUUUGCGCUAAUACCGAAUGAGCCCUUCGGGGGAAAGAUUUAUCGCCGAAAGAUCGGCCCGCGUUGGAUUAGGUAGUUGGUGUGGUAAAGGCGCACCAAGCCUACGAUCCAUAGCUGGUCUGAGAGGAUGAUCAGCCACACUGGGACUGAGACACGGCCCAGACUCCUACGGGAGGCAGCAGUGGGGAACCUUGCGCAAUGGGCGAAAGCCUGACGCAGCCAUGCCGCGUGAAUGAUGAGGGUCUUAGGAUUGUAAAAUUCUUUUACCAGGGACGAUAAUGACGGUACCUGGAGAAAAAGCCCCGGCUAACUUCGUGCCAGCCGCCGCCGUAAAAC
rnacentral:rRNA from 1 species